rnacentral:rRNA from 1 species
GAUGAACGCUAGCGGGAGGCCUAACACAUGCAAGCCGAGCGGUAUUGUUUCUUCGGAAAUGAGAGAGCGGCGUACGGGUGCGUAACACGUGUGCAACCUGCCUUUAUCUGGGGGAUAGCCUUUCAAAAGGAAGAUUAAUACUCCAUAAUAUAUUGAACGGCAUCGUUUAAUAUUGAAAGCUCCGGCGGAUAGAGAUGGGCACGCGCAAGAUUAGCUAGUUGGUGAGGUAACGGCUCACCAAGGCGAUGAUCUUUAGGGGGCCUGAGAGGGUGAUCCCCCACACUGGUACUGAGACACGGACCAGACUCCUACGGGAGGCAGCAGUGAGGAAUAUUGGUCAAUGGGUGCAAGCCUGAACCAGCCAUCCCGCGUGAAGGACGACUGCCCUAUGGGUUGUAAACUUCUUUUGUAUAGGGAUAAACCUACCCUCGAGAGGGUAGCUGAAGGUACUAUACGAAUAAGCACCGGCUAACUCCGUG